UACGUAGGUGGCAAGCGUUGUCCGGAUUUACUGGGCGUAAAGAGCGCGCAGGCGGCCAAGUCGGUCGAAUGUGAAAGCCCCCGGCUUAACUGGGGAGGGUCAUUCGAUACUGCUCGGCUCGAAGACAGGAGAGGGAAGUGGAAUUCCCGGUGUAGUGGUGAAAUGCGUAGAUAUCGGGAGGAACACCAGUGGCGAAGGCGACUUUCUGGCCUGUUCUUGACGCUGAGGCGCGAAAGCUAGGGGAGCAAACGGG
rnacentral:rRNA from 1 species